AAAUUGAAGAGUUUGAUCAUGGCUCAGAUUGAACGCUGGCGGCAGGCCUAACACAUGCAAGUCGAGCGGAAACGAGUURUCWGAACCUUCGGGGRACGAUAACGGCGUCGAGCGGCGGACGGGUGAGUAAUGCCUAGGAAAUUGCCCUGAUGUGGGGGAUAACCAUUGGAAACGAUGGCUAAUACCGCAUGAUGCCUACGGGCCAAAGAGGGGGACCUUCGGGCCUCUCGCGUCAGGAUAUGCCGUAAGGGCUCACCAAGGCGACGAUCCCUAGCUGGUCUGAGAGGAUGAUCAGCCACACUGGAACUGAGACACGGUCCAGACUCCUACGGGAGGCAGCAGUGGGGAAUAUUGCACAAUGGGCGCAAGCCUGAUGCAGCCAUGCCGCGUGUGUGAAGAAGGCCUUCGGGUUGUAAAGCACUUUCAGUCGUGAGGAAGGUAGUGUAGUUAAUAGCUGCAUUAUUUGACGUUAGCGACAGAAGAAGCACCGGCUAACUCCGUGCCAGCAGCCGCGGUAAUACGGAGGGUGCGAGCGUUAAUCGGAAUUACUGGGCGUAAAGCGCAUGCAGGUGGUUUGUUAAGUCAGAUGUGAAAGCCCGGGGCUCAACCUCGGAAUUGCAUUUGAAACUGGCAGACUAGAGUACUGUAGAGGGGGGUAGAAUUUCAGGUGUAGCGGUGAAAUGCGUAGAGAUCUGAAGGAAUACCGGUGGCGAAGGCGGCCCCCUGGACAGAUACUGACACUCAGAUGCGAAAGCGUGGGGAGCAAACAGGAUUAGAUACCCUGGUAGUCCACGCCGUAAACGAUGUCUACUUGGAGGUUGUGGCCUUGAGCCGUGGCUUUCGGAGCUAACGCGUUAAGUAGACCGCCUGGGGAGUACGGUCGCAAGAUUAAAACUCAAAUGAAUUGACGGGGGCCCGCACAAGCGGUGGAGCAUGUGGUUUAAUUCGAUGCAACGCGAAGAACCUUACCUACUCUUGACAUCCAGAGAACUUUCCAGAGAUGGAUUGGUGCCUUCGGGAACUCUGAGACAGGUGCUGCAUGGCUGUCGUCAGCUCGUGUUGUGAAAUGUUGGGUUAAGUCCCGCAACGAGCGCAACCCUUAUCCUUGUUUGCCAGCGAGUAAUGUCGGGAACUCCAGGGAGACUGCCGGUGAUAAACCGGAGGAAGGURGGGACGACGUCAAGUCAUCAUGGCCCUUACGAGUAGGGCUACACACGUGCUACAAUGGCGCAUACAGAGGGCAGCCAACUUGCGAAAGUGAGCGAAUCCCAAAAAGUGCGUCGUAGUCCGGAUUGGAGUCUGCAACUCGACUCCAUGAAGUCGGAAUCGCUAGUAAUCGUGGAUCAGAAUGCCACGGUGAAUACGUUCCCGGGCCUUGUACACACCGCCCGUCACACCAUGGGAGUGGGCUGCAAAAGAAGUAGGUAGUUUAACCUUCGGGGGGACGCUUACCACUUUGUGGUUCAUGACUGGGGUGAAGUCGUAACAAGGUAGCGCUAGGGGAACCUGGCGCUGGAUCACCUCCUUAAACGAUGAU
rnacentral:rRNA from 1 species